rnacentral:snoRNA from 1 species
AUGGCAUGUUGAGGACAAUCGGCGCAAAGCUUCUUGAAUCUCUCCCAAGCUAGGUAAAAAUUAUCAUCCUUGCGUUGUCGAAAACUUGUAAUCCUUUGUCUCCCCUU